rnacentral:lncRNA from 1 species
AAAGAAAAAUUAAAAGAUUUCAUAAAAAGAAAACAGAAAUUAACUUGAACCUAGAACAGGAAUUGCAUGAAAGAAAUUUUGCUAGAUUUCAUAAAAAGAAAAUUGAUUACAAAUAAAAAUGGAGAUCAGAGGCCUAAUACUCCUUCUAUUUUGCAAAUAAAAUAAAGAAAAGAAAAUAAAAACAAAUUACUUCUCUUUUUCCUCUCUCUCCCACGGUGGACCUUCAACAUAAAAUAAUAUUUUUUUCUUUCUUUUUUCCAAGAGCAGAGCCUCCCCUAUUCCUUCUCCUUUGAACCAGCCGAGCUCCCACCUCCCUAGCCCUUGGCCUCCCACCGAGCGCCUUCCCUUUGGACCCGCCGGCCACCACCCUCCCCAAGAGCUCCUCCUCUCCUCUGGUUCUCCCCUUCUUAUAAAUCGCCAGAGCAUGGAGAGGAGGAGAAACGGGCGCAGGAUCUCGGGAGAGGGGCUGGCUUCACGGCUGCGUCGUGGGCGGAAGCUGAGGCGGAAGAGCUACAGACGGAGAAGGAAAUGGCUGGAUCACGGCUGGGCUGCUGGAAUUUCGAAUCCGGCUCGGACGCGAUGCUGGGAGGAUGCGGAAGAGAUGAAGGCAUGUGGGAUCGCCGGGAGGCANNN